rnacentral:tmRNA from 1 species
GGGGGCGAUCCGGAUUCGACGCCGGUAAUCAAAGCCCUAGGUGCAUGCCGAGAGGGUAGUAACUCUCGUAAAACAAUUGCUGCAAAACUAUAUAUCUGCCAACGACGCAGACUACGCACUGGCGGCCUAGACCGCUGCCAACCCCACCGCAGAGGUGCCUGUGACUAAGCGAUGGGGGCACGUUUCACGGGAUCGCGGAGAGAUCUCGCCCGGGGUCGAACCGCUAAAAAUUAAUCGGGCUCGUCCACGACACCCUGCCCACCGGGUCGUCAGCGGACUAAAUCAAUAGAUGUGGCUAAGCAUGUAGAGCCGAAGGCGGCGUGCUGGCGGACGCGGGUUCGAUUCCCGCCGCCUCCACCA